rnacentral:ncRNA from 1 species
CCGGCUCCGGUUCACCCCUCGGGGACCCGGCGGCC